rnacentral:snoRNA from 1 species
CACCGCGUGUGUACUGGCUGUUUGAGUUCAAUUACCAAUCAGCUGUCAUCAACCACGCUAUACUGUAUGAUGUGUCAAAUUAACGUGUGAAUACUAUAUUCGGAUUGGUCACUCGUAGGAGGCACCUCAACAUUU